rnacentral:misc_RNA from 1 species
AAGUGUGGAGCAGUAGCAGCUAUUGCUAGGGAUCAUGAAAGAAACCCAUGUGGUUGGAUUUGCAAAAAAAUUUCUGCAAUCACAGACCCUCUAAUUUUUGCAGUCUUGCGUGCAGAGAAGCUGUUCUUUUAGCUCUGCAGGGAGGAUUCACAAAAGUUUAUGUAGAAGGAGACUACCAAAUUCUCAUUAAUAGCCUACAAGGAAGUCCUGUGCCAGCUGAUAUGUAACAGGUUAUUCAAGACAUCCUUUGUUUUGCUAUGAAUUUUGAGACACUUUCUUUCAAGGUCGUAUAAUGCUGUAGCAGAUAGUUCAGCAGCUUUAGCGUUGCAGGAUCCUAAUUUCUUCUUGUAUAUAUUCAGAAAUACCCACUUGAG